CGGACGGGUGAGUAACGCGUGGGUAACCUGCCUUACACAGGGGGAUAACACCUGGAAACAGGUGCUAAUACCGCAUAAGCGCACAGGGCCGCAUGGCCCGGUGUGAAAAACUCCGGUGGUGUAAGAUGGACCCGCGUCUGAUUAGCUUGUUGGCGGGGUAGGGGCCCACCAAGGCGACGAUCAGUAGCCGGCCUGAGAGGGUGGACGGCCACAUUGGGACUGAGACACGGCCCAAACUCCUACGGGAGGCAGCAGUGGGGGAUAUUGGACAAUGGGGGAAACCCUGAUCCAGCGACGCCGCGUGAGUGAAGAGGUAUUUCGGUAUGUAAAGCUCUGUCAGCAGGGAAGAAAGAAAUGACGGUACCUGACCAAGAAGCCCCGGCUAACUACGUGCCAGCAGCCGCGGUAAUACGUAGGGGGCAAGCGUUAUCCGGAAUUACUGGGUGUAAAGGGAGCGUAGACGGUGAUGCAAGUCUGGAGUGAAAGGCGGGGGCCCAACCCCCGGACUGCUCUGGAAACUGUGUAACUUGAGUGCAGGAGAGGUAAGCGGAAUUCCUAGUGUAGCGGUGAGAUGCGUAGAUAUUAGGAGGAACACCAGUGGCGAAGGCGGCUUACUGGACUGUAACUGACGUUGAGGCUCGAAAGCGUGGGGAGCAAACAGGAUUAGAUACCCUGGUAGUCCACGCCGUAAACGAUGAUUACUAGGUGUCGGUGGGUAUGGACCCAC
rnacentral:rRNA from 1 species